AAGCAUAUCAAUAAGCGGAGGAAAAGAAACUAACAAGGAUUCCCCUAGUAACUGCGAGUGAAGCGGGAUGAGCUCAAAUUUAAAAUCUGGCGUCUCUGGCGUCCGAGUUGUAACCUAGAGAAGCGUUUUCAGCCGCCGGCCGUGGACAAGUCCCUUGGAACAGGGCGUCAUAGAGGGUGAGAAUCCCGUCCUUGCCACGACACCGUGUGUCUAUGUGAUACGCUCUCGAAGAGUCGAGUUGUUUGGGAAUGCAGCUCAAAAUGGGAGGUAUGUUCCUUCUAAAGCUAAAUAUUGGCGAGAGACCGAUAGCGAACAAGUACCGUGAGGGAAAGAUGAAAAGCACUUUGGAAAGAGAGUUAAACAGUACGUGAAAUUGCUAAAAGGGAAGCGCUUGAAGUCAGUCGCGUCUUUGGGGAUUCAGCCUUGACCGGUGCAUUUCCUCUUCGACGGGCCAACAUCGAUUUCCGCCGCGGGAAAAGGGCGUAAGGAAUGUGGCAGCCUCGGCUGUGUUAUAGCCUUGCGUCGUACGCCGUGGUGGGGAUCGAGGACCGCAGCUUCGGCUUAGGAUGUUGGCGUAAUGGCUUUAAGCGACCCGUCUUGAAACACGGACCAAGGAGUCUAACAUGUCUGCGAGUGUUUGGGUGUCAAACCCAUGCGCGAAAUGAAAGUAAACGGAGGUGGGACGCUUCGGCUGCACCAUCGACCGAUCCGGAUCUCUUGUGAUGGAUUUGAGUAAGAGCAUAUAUGUUGGGACCCGAAAGAUGGUGAACUAUGCCUGAAUAGGGCGAAGCCAGAGGAAACUCUGGUGGAGGCUCGUAGCGAUUCUGACGUGCAAAUCGAUCGUCAAAUUUGGGUAUAGGGGCGAAAGACUAAUCGAACCAUCUAGUAGCUGGUUCCUG
rnacentral:rRNA from 1 species